rnacentral:rRNA from 1 species
AAAUUGAAGAGUUUGAUCAUGGCUCAGAUUGAACGCUGGCGGCAGGCCUAACACAUGCAAGUCGAGCGGUAGCACAGAGAGCUUGCUCUCGGGUGACGAGCGGCGGACGGGUGAGUAAUGUCUGGGAAACUGCCUGAUGGAGGGGGAUAACUACUGGAAACGGUAGCUAAUACCGCAUAACGUCGCAAGACCAAAGUGGGGGACCUUCGGGCCUCAUGCCAUCAGAUGUGCCCAGAUGGGAUUAGCUAGUAGGUGGGGUAAUGGCUCACCUAGGCGACGAUCCCUAGCUGGUCUGAGAGGAUGACCAGCCACACUGGAACUGAGACACGGUCCAGACUCCUACGGGAGGCAGCAGUGGGGAAUAUUGCACAAUGGGCGCAAGCCUGAUGCAGCCAUGCCGCGUGUAUGAAGAAGGCCUUCGGGUUGUAAAGUACUUUCAGCGAGGAGGAAGGCGUUAAGGUUAAUAACCUUGGCGAUUGACGUUACUCGCAGAAGAAGCACCGGCUAACUCCGUGCCAGCAGCCGCGGUAAUACGGAGGGUGCAAGCGUUAAUCGGAAUUACUGGGCGUAAAGCGCACGCAGGCGGUCUGUCAAGUCGGAUGUGAAAUCCCCGGGCUCAACCUGGGAACUGCAUUCGAAACUGGCAGGCUAGAGUCUUGUAGAGGGGGGUAGAAUUCCAGGUGUAGCGGUGAAAUGCGUAGAGAUCUGGAGGAAUACCGGUGGCGAAGGCGGCCCCCUGGACAAAGACUGACGCUCAGGUGCGAAAGCGUGGGGAGCAAACAGGAUUAGAUACCCUGGUAGUCCACGCCGUAAACGAUGUCGACUUGGAGGUUGUGCCCUUGAGGCGUGGCUUCCGGAGCUAACGCGUUAAGUCGACCGCCUGGGGAGUACGGCCGCAAGGUUAAAACUCAAAUGAAUUGACGGGGGCCCGCACAAGCGGUGGAGCAUGUGGUUUAAUUCGAUGCAACGCGAAGAACCUUACCUACUCUUGACAUCCAGAGAACUUAGCAGAGAUGCUUUGGUGCCUUCGGGAACUCUGAGACAGGUGCUGCAUGGCUGUCGUCAGCUCGUGUUGUGAAAUGUUGGGUUAAGUCCCGCAACGAGCGCAACCCUUAUCCUUUGUUGCCAGCGGUCCGGCCGGGAACUCAAAGGAGACUGCCAGUGAUAAACUGGAGGAAGGUGGGGAUGACGUCAAGUCAUCAUGGCCCUUACGAGUAGGGCUACACACGUGCUACAAUGGCAUAUACAAAGAGAAGCGACCUCGCGAGAGCAAGCGGACCUCAUAAAGUAUGUCGUAGUCCGGAUUGGAGUCUGCAACUCGACUCCAUGAAGUCGGAAUCGCUAGUAAUCGUAGAUCAGAAUGCUACGGUGAAUACGUUCCCGGGCCUUGUACACACCGCCCGUCACACCAUGGGAGUGGGUUGCAAAAGAAGUAGGUAGCUUAACCUUCGGGAGGGCGCUUACCACUUUGUGAUUCAUGACUGGGGUGAAGUCGUAACAAGGUAACCGUAGGGGAACCUGUGGUUGGAUCACCUCCUUA